UAGGGAAUCUUCCACAAUGGACGCAAGUCUGAUGGAGCAACGCCGCGUGAGUGAAGAAGGUUUUCGGAUCGUAAAGCUCUGUUGUUGGUGAAGAAGGAUAGAGGCAGUAACUGGUCUUUAUUUGACGGUAAUCAACCAGAAAGUCACGGCUAACUACGUGCCAGCAGCCGCGGUAAUACGUAGGUGGCAAGCGUUGUCCGGAUUUAUUGGGCGUAAAGCGAGCGCAGGCAGAAUGAUAAGUCUGAUGUGAAAGCCCACGGCUCAACCGUGGAACUGCAUCGGGAACUGUCAUUCUUGAGUGCAGAAGAGGAGAGUGGAAUUCCAUGUGUAGCGGUGGAAUGCGUAGAUAUAUGGAAGAACACCAGUGGCGAAGGCGGCUCUCUGGUCUGCAACUGACGCUGAGGCUCGAAAGCAUGGGUAGCGAACAGG
rnacentral:rRNA from 1 species